GAUGAACGCUGGCGGCGUGCCUAAUACAUGCAAGUCGAGCGAACAGACGAGGAGCUUGCUCCUCUGACGUUAGCGGCGGACGGGUGAGUAACACGUGGAUAACCUACCUAUAAGACUGGGAUAACUUCGGGAAACCGGAGCUAAUACCGUAUAAUAUAUUGAACCGCAUGGUUCAAUAGUGAAAGACGGUUUUGCUGUCACUUAUAGAUGGAUCCGCGCCGCAUUAGCUAGUUGGUAAGGUAACGGCUUACCAAGGCAACGAUGCGUAGCCGACCUGAGAGGGUGAUCGGCCACACUGGAACUGAGACACGGUCCAGACGCCUACGGGAGGCAGCAGUAGGGAAUCUUCCGCAAUGGGCGAAAGCAUGACGGAGCAACGCCGCGUGAGUGAUGAAGGUCUUCUGAUCGUAAAACUCUGUUAUUAGGGAAGAACAAAUGUGUAAGUAACUAUGCACGUAUUGACGGUACCUAAACAGAAAGCCACGGCUAACUACGUG
rnacentral:rRNA from 1 species